GCGCGCUCCCCAAAAUUUUGGCCUGCGUUCCCUCCGUUCUCUCUCUCCCUUUGAACCCAAUGACCUAUUUCUAAACCUCCAUUCUCUCUCUCUCUCUCUUGUUGCUAUUCCUUCCCCGCUUUUGUUUUCUCUCUUCCUUUCCCCCUCUCUCCUCCUCUGUCAUUCUCUGUUGUCUCCUUUAUUUUUCCCCUCUCUCUUUCUCUCCUAUGGGUUUGCAAAUAAAAGGUGUGCAUACCUCUAUUUCAAUAGAGUCUCAUUUCAAUAAACAGGCAUUGGGGUUUGCAAAGUAACGAUGUGUAAAGAAAGUGUAAAUCUGAAAAGCUGUAGAUGGAGUCUGGAGAUGAUAGUAGCAAUACUGGGCCGGCAAUAUAUCCCUCAAGGAAGAACUGGUGGAAUUUCUUCAAGGAUCAAAACUAACCUUUUCAUGGGCUUGAAUGGUUUGAUGCUAGAAUUAAGCUACCAAGUGGUGAUUACUUGCUAGUGCUCUAUUUCAGACCCCCAGGCCCUUUAGAUUGUUGAUUCAAGAUGCCUUACAAUGAGUAGGACAGCAACUCAAAAGUUGGAUCCAUAUUCCAGGCCUUGAAUAUGAAGGAAUCUACACUAACAUAUUUCCAAACAAAUAAAUUUAUUUAUGCUUUUCAAGACAUUGUUGAUGCAUAUGGGGAUUGAAAGCUUGGGGAUUUUAUAUUUGGUGUACAUAUUGCAUUGGCAUUUGUAGCAAAGUUUGUUCCGCUGAGAAAACUAAGAAAGUUGCCAUGUAGAUUUCAUUCUUCAUUAGCAAUUAUGUUUAUCUGUGUAAAAGAAAAAGAAAUACAUUUAUGUAUCUAUAUGCCUUUGCAAAUGCAUGCAUGCCCGUGCCUAUGGAAUAUUGUUUAUCUGGAAUGGAAGAAUUGACAUAUAUUAUUUAUGUCAUAAAGUUGUGUUCUAUAUGGACCUUACAGGAUUCGUCUUUAUUCAAGCCAUUCAUUUAUAGUCAUGUGAAGGUCCUGAUGUGAUUCUCAUUUAUAGUCAUCUGGAAUGGAAGAAUUGAUUUUUAGUAGACUGU